UCAGAUGGAGCUGUUUUGAGAAGAAUCUCUGAACAAAAAAUGGAGUGGAAAUAAUAACUUGCCUUGAGAUACUGCGAUACAACACUGGAAGCCUCAGGCAAGGAAGAGAUUUCAGAUUUUUUUCUUUGCUUGUCAACAGAAAGGCCUCCUGACAGAUAAAGCCAGUAGAUGCAGAGACAUUUUUGAGGAUGUUGAUGCCUUGAAGCUUCACUUGGUCAGGGUUUACUGCGGUUGUGUGGACCUCUUGAUUAUCCAGAACGUUUGAUCAACUGGCACACUCCUGGUCCUCCACGCGCUGAUAAAUAAAAGGAAGCCUUCUGGUGAAGAUGUACAUGGAUGGAAGAGGAUGAGAAGAAAUGAAAUAAAGAAUUCACAUGAAAUGUAGAAGUUAGAAGGAGAUAUAUUCAAGCUUACCUUUAAAAGCCAUGUUGAGCAUUAACUAAAGAGCAAACAAAGAAGACAGCAUUUCUCCUGGAAAGCAGUGAAAGAUUGGUACCACUUACUGUCAGUUUACUUGAAGGUCAACCUCCAUUAGCAGCACAACCUUGUCUACUCUAGUAAUGAUUAUUGAAACCAUUAACCUUUCUUACAUCUGGCUCCUUUAAGUUCGUUCAAGGGAUAGUAAACUGAGCCAAACCAUAACACCCAA